rnacentral:rRNA from 1 species
GGCGAACGGGUGAGUAAUGCGUGACCGACCUGCCCCAUGCACCGGAWUAGCUCCUGGAAACGGGUGGUAAUGCCGGAUGUUCCAGUUGAUCGCAUGGUCUUCUGGGAAAGCUUUCGCGGUAUGGGAUGGGGUCGCGUCCUAUCAGCUUGACGGCGGGGUAACGGCCCACCGUGGCUUCGACGGGUAGCCGGCCUGAGAGGGCGACCGGCCACAUUGGGACUGAGAUACGGCCCAGACUCCUACGGGAGGCAGCAGUGGGGAAUAUUGCACAAUGGGCGCAAGCCUGAUGCAGCGACGCCUCUUGAGGGAUGGAGGCCUUCGGGUUGUAAACCUCUUUUAUCGGGGAGCAAGCGUGAGUGAGUUUACCCGUUGAAUAAGCACCGGCUAACUACGUGCCAGCAGCCGCGGUAAUACGUAGGGUGCAAGCGUUAUCCGGAAUUAUUGGGCGUAAAGGGCUCGUAGGCGGUUCGUCGCGUCCGGUGUGAAAGUCCAUCGCUUAACGGUGGAUCCGCGCCCGGGUACGGGC